AAUUAUCUUUUUUCGUCCGCAAAUAUACAAAUGUUAUUUUCCGUUUCGAUUCUCUUCGACCACUUUCACUACAUUGUUCUUCGCUUUUAGAGGCAUCGAGAACAUAAUCUCGAUCGGUCUCUCCGCUUCUUUGCACAACCGUUAGGGUUUUGAUCGGUUUCUGGCGUCUUCGAUCUGCACGACCACCGCCGAUGGAGGAGCUUCGUUGUCUCGACGCCGAUGAGGCGCCCGGGAACGGAGAGUGUGCGACGGCAGGAGAAGAGGUGGAAGGGGAGCCGCAGGGGCGAUGUCUCGACCUCACGAGCUUUCAGCUCCAUGACCUGCGUGAGGUCGAGAUCCCGGAUGACCUCGUCGAGUUGGAUCUCACCGCCAACAGGCUUUCCGAGUUGGACCCGCGCAUCCAUCUCCUCCCGCAGCUGCGGAAGCUCUCGCUUCGGCAGAACCUUUUCGACGACAAGGGCGUCGAGCCCAUCUCCCAGUGGAAAGCCAAUCGCCGGCUUGCUUGAGCUGGUACUCCGGGAUAACAAGCUGAGAAAUAUACCUGAUGUUAGCAUUUUCAAAAGCCUCCUUCUCUUUGAUGUCUCUUUCAAUGAGAUAUCUUCCUUGCAUGGCUUGUCCAAGGUCUCCGACACACUCAAAGAGCUUUAUGUUUCAAAGAAUGAAGUCAACAAGAUCGAGGAACUUGAACACUUGCAUUCGUUGCAGAUCCUUGAACUCGGUUCAAAUAGAUUAAGGGUUAUGGAGAACUUGCAAACGUUGACAAACUUACAGGAGCUGUGGCUUGGACGAAACCGUAUUCGGAUGGUCAACUUGUGUGGGCUGAAAUGUAUCAGAAAAAUAAGUUUACAGAGCAACCGUUUGACAUCCACGAUGGGGUUUCAGGGAUGCAUCACACUAGAGGAAUUGUAUCUGAAUCAUAAUGGUAUCCAAAAGAUGGAAGGGUUGUCCACCUUAGAAAACCUACGUGUACUGGACAUUUCAUCCAAUAAACUUACCGUGAUUAGUGAUAUUGACAAACUGACAAGAUUAGAAGACCUGUGGCUUAAUGACAACCAAAUAGCUUCGCUAGAAGGCACUGAUGUAGCUGUAUGUGGUUCAAGGGAACGGCUUACAACCAUUUAUCUCGAGCGCAAUCCAUGUGCUAGCUCGCCAGAUUAUUCUACUACUUUGAGGCAGAUAUUUCCAAACAUUCAGCAGAUUGAUUCAGAUAUUUUUAUGUGAGGGAUUCAAUGAUCAUGCAUGUUACUGAAUAUGAUCAGUAAUCACGUGAGAAAUGGAUUUUGGAAUCACAUUUCAUGGUACAAGCUACUCAAUCUUCACCUACUUAAAUUGUCCUUGUAACCUUACUGGUUAUUAAUCAUCCAUUUGGUGACUUUCAUCCUCACUCGUGAACUGGUGGAAUUUGGGAGCAGUUAGAAUUAUGAUGCAUUCCUAACAGAUAAGUCUGUGUUUUGCUUCUCAGACAGUUUCUGCAGAGCAAACCUUUGUAUCAAGUUGGUUUAUCAGAAGCAAUCUCCUCCUUGGCAACGAAUACGGUACCACAGCAAGUUCCAAGAGAACGAAGGUGGAAAAUUUUAUGCCAUUUUUGAAGUGGUGGGUUGAAGUAGAAAAAUAGACAAUGUGUCCUGCUCUCACUGUGUCAAGAACAGGAAACAUGUUG